rnacentral:rRNA from 1 species
UACGAAGGGGGCUAGCGUUGCUCGGAAUCACUGGGCGUAAAGCGCACGUAGGCGGGUCUUUAAGUCAGGGGUGAAAUCCUGGAGCUCAACUCCAGAACUUCCUUUGAUACUGAAGAUCUUGAGUUCGGGAGAGGUGAGUGGAACUGCGAGUGUAGAGGUGAAAUUCGUAGAUAUUCGCAAGAACACCAGUGGCGAAGGCGGCUCACUGGCCCGAUACUGACGCUGAGGCACGAAAGCGUGGGGAGCAAACAGG